rnacentral:misc_RNA from 1 species
AAGUCGUAACAAGGUUUCCGUAGGUGAACCUGCGGAAGGAUCAUUACAGAGAAACUUGCCCUUCGGGGGUAGAUCUCCCACCCUUUGUUUACCUUACCCCUUGUUGCUUUGGCAGGCCCGUCCCUCGGGACCGCUGGCUUCGGCUGGCCCGCGCCUGUCAGAGGACCCCCCAACUCUUGUUUAAUUGUCGUCUGAGUACUAUAUAAUAAGUUAAAA